rnacentral:rRNA from 1 species
UACGUAGGGUGCAAGCGUUGUCCGGAAUUAUUGGGCGUAAAGAGCUCGUAGGCGGUUUGUCGCGUCUGCUGUGAAAACUCGGGGCUUAACCCCGGGCCUGCAGUGGGUACGGGCAGACUAGAGUGCGGUAGGGGAGACUGGAAUUCCUGGUGUAGCGGUGAAAUGCGCAGAUAUCAGGAGGAACACCAAUGGCGAAGGCAGCUCGCUGGGACGGUACUGACGCUGAGGCACGAAAGCCAGGGGAGCGAACGGG